rnacentral:rRNA from 1 species
AACGAACGCUGGCGGCAGGCUUAACACAUGCAAUUAGCACGCAUCGCAAGAUGAGUGGCAGACGGGUGAGGAACACGUGGGAACCUCCCUUUCUGUUCGGAAUAACUCAGGGAAACUUGAGCUAAUAGCGGAUACGUCAGUGAGGAGAAAGAUCUAUCGCUGCAAGAUUGGCCCGCUUCUGAUUAGCUAGUUGGUGAGGUAAUGGCUCACCAAGGCUACGAUCAGUAGGUGAUCUGAGAGGUUGAUCAGCCACAUUGGGACUGAGACACGGCCCAAACUCCCACGGCAGGCAGCAGUGGGGAAUAUUGGACAAUGAGCGCGAGCCUGAUCCAUCCAUGCCGCGCGAGUGAUGAAGGCCUUCGGGUUGUAAAGCUCUAUUGUCCGGGAAGAUAAUGCCUGUACCGGAAGAAUAAGCCCCGGCAAACUUCGUGCCAGCCGCCGCUGUAA